rnacentral:rRNA from 1 species
AUGAACGCUAGCGACAGGCUAACACAUGCAAGUCGAGGGGUAACAGGGCAGCAAUACCGCUGACGACCGGCGCACGGGUGAGUAACGCGUAUGCAACCUGCCUAUAACUGGGGAAUAGCUCCCUGAAAGGGGGAAUUAACACCGCAUAACACUAUUGAUUCGCAUGGAUUAGUAGUUAAAUGUAGCGAUACAGGUUAUAGAUGGGCAUGCGUGACAUUAGCUAGUUGGUGAGGUAACGGCUCACCAAGGCUACGAUGUCUAGGGGUUCUGAGAGGAAGGUCCCCCACACUGGUACUGAGACACGGACCAGACUCCUACGGGAGGCAGCAGUGAGGAAUAUUGGUCAAUGGGCGCAAGCCUGAACCAGCCAUGUCGCGUGCAGGAAGACUCGCCCUAUGGGUUGUAAACUGCUUUUAUAGUAGAAGAAACACAUCUACGUGUAGAUGUCUGCCAGUAUACUAUGAAUAAGCAUCGGCUAACUCCGUGCCAGCAGCCGC